CCCGCUGAACUUAAGCAUAUCAGUAAGCGGAGGAAAAGAAACUAACAAGGAUUCCCCUAGUAACGGCGAGUGAAGCGGGAAAAGCUCAAAUUUGAAAACUGUCAUGUCACAGUGACAGAGUUGUAUUUGAGAAGAUAUGAGCCUAGUAAGGGGAUUGAUGGCCAAGCCUUUUGGAAAAAAGCACCAUAGAGGGUGAGAGCCCCGUUGGCGAUUAGAUCGCUUUGCGCACGCACAUGUCUGACGAGUCGGAUUGUUUGGGAAUGCAGUCCUAAAUGGGUGAUACGUGUCAUCUAAAGCUAAAUAGAGGCAAGAGACCGAUAGCAAACAAGUACCGUGAGGGAAAGAUGAAAAGCACUUUGAAAAGAGAGUCAAAAGUACGUGAAAUUGUGGAGAGGGAAACGCUGAUCAAGAUGGAGGUGGGGGGUGGAUAGUGUGCAGUAUGAAAAUAUUGCAGAGUCACUGGCCACUACUCGGAUGAGGCUUGGUUGUGUGGCAUGAAAAGCGCGAGUGGAAGGUGGCUUUGAUCUUUUAGAUCAACGGCUUUAUAGACACUUGUAGUGAAUGCGGCGAGACCAAGAGCAGCACUAGCUGUGUUACGAAAUAAUCUCAUCAUGCAUUUGAUCAUCGACCCGUCUUGAAACACGG
rnacentral:rRNA from 1 species